rfam:Deltaproteobacteria bacterium RIFCSPLOWO2_12_FTLL_60_19 rifcsplowo2_12_scaffold_1604, whole genome shotgun sequence.
GAGAGCCGUGUGCGGGAGAACCGCAGGCACGGUUCGGAGGGCGGGGAGGGCGCGAGCCCUUUCCCGACCCCUGU